GCAUGGCUGUCGUCAGCUCGUGUUGUGAAAUGUUGGGUUAAGUCCCGCAACGAGCGCAACCCUUAUCCUUUGUUGCCAGCGAUUAGGUCGGGAACUCAAAGGAGACUGCCAGUGAUAAACUGGAGGAAGGUGGGGAUGACGUCAAGUCAUCAUGGCCCUUACGACCAGGGCUACACACGUGCUACAAUGGCGCAUACAAAGAGAAGCGACCUCGCGAGAGCAAGCGGACCUCAUAAAGUGCGUCGUAGUCCGGAUUGGAGUCUGCAACUCGACUCCAUGAAGUCGGAAUCGCUAGUAAUCGUGGAUCAGAAUGCCACGGUGAAUACGUUCCCGGGCCUUGUACACACCGCCCGUCACACCAUGGGAGUGGGUUGCAAAAGAAGUAGGUAGCUUAACCUUCGGGAGGGCGCUUACCACUUUGUGAUUCAUGACUGGGGUGAAGUCGUAACAAGGUAACCGUAGGGGAACCUGCGGUUGGA
rnacentral:rRNA from 3 species